GAUGAACGCUGGCGGCGUGCCUAAUACAUGCAAGUCGAGCGAACAGACGAGGAGCUUGCUCCUCUGACGUUAGCGGCGGACGGGUGAGUAACACGUGGAUAACCUACCUAUAAGACUGGGAUAACUUCGGGAAACCGGAGCUAAUACCGGAUAAUAUAUUGAACCGCAUGGUUCAAUAGUGAAAGACGGUUUUGCUGUCACUUAUAGAUGGAUCCGCGCCGCAUUAGCUAGUUGGUAAGGUAACGGCUUACCAAGGCAACGAUGCGUAGCCGACCUGAGAGGGGGAUCGGCCACACUGGAACUGAGACAAGGUCCAGCCUCCUACGGGAGGCAGCAGUAGGGAAUCUUCCGCAAUGGGCGAAAGCCUGACGGAGCAACGCCGCGUGAGUGAUGAAGGUCUUCGGAUCGUAAAACUCUGUUAUUAGGGAAGAACAAAUGUGUAAGUAACUAUGCACGUCUUGACGGUACCUAAUCAGAAAGCCACGGCUAACUACGUG
rnacentral:rRNA from 1 species